GGCCAAGUUAAAUCAGUAAUUUUGUUCCAUCAAUUUUGAUUUGCUACAUUUUCAAGAAAUGUUCCCUGGAUCGUUAAUUAUUUGGUCUGAAAUAACCCCAAGAUUAUUUUGGUUGCGCAAUGCGAAACUUAAAGCGCUAGAAAGAGUUAGGCGUAAGCUGAACAAAGCCACAGAGAAAUUUAUGCCACGAAUUGGUGGUUUUUCUUUUCGCCAUGUGGAUAUCGAGGGUCAGUAUGAAGGGUUGUAUUUGAAAGAUGGUAUACAUUUGUCUGAUGUUAGAUUGGAUAUUUUAAAUAAUGAUUUGUAGUGUAUGAUCGAUAAGGCCGUGGUCUGGUGGGGUGGGCUGCAGCAUAAGUUGCAUGCUGCAGCGUGUGGGGUCACCUGCCUAAUUUAAAGGGGGGUGGACUAGCUGAGUUUAUGAUCAUUUGGUUGAAGUUCUGGCCAAUAGGGCGGAACUCUAGUGAGUUAUGUUUUAAUUCUCUGGGGGUUUAAAGACCGGAGAUGGUUAUAAAGUUAUUAAGUGUUGUUUGUGUUAUUUUAAAACUAAAUAAAAG